GAUGAACGCUGGCGGCGUGCCUAAUACAUGCAAGUCGAGCGAACAGAUGAGGAGCUUGCUCCUCUGACGUUAGCGGCGGACGGGUGAGUAACACGUGGAUAACCUACCUCUAAAACUGGGAUAACUUCGGGAAACCGGAGCUAAUACCGGAUAAUAUAUUGAACCGCAUGGUUCAUUAGUGAAAGACGGUUUUGCUGUCACUUAUAGAUGGAUCCGCGCCGCAUUAGCUAGUUGGUAAGGUAACGGCUUACCAAGGCGACGAUGCGUAGCCGACCUGAGAGGAGGAUCGGCCACACUAGAACUGAGACACGGUCCAGACUCCUACGGGAGGCAGCAGUAGGGAAUCUUCCGCAAUGGGCGAAAGCCUGACGGAGCAACGCCGCGUGAGUGAUGAAGGUCUUCGGAUCUUAAAACUCUGUUAUUAGGGAAGAACAAAUGUGUAAGUAACUAUGCACGUCUUGACGGUACCUAAUCAGAAAGCCACGGCUAACUACGUG
rnacentral:rRNA from 1 species